AGAGUAGCUACAAAUUCUCUUAUAUGUCUCCUCUGGCUGGCUUUUUGUCUUAUGUGUCUCCGUUGUAAUUGUAGAUCGAUCUAUAACAUGACACAGAGUAAACAUCGAGGCAAAGUCAGGUCUAUGAAAUCAAAAUAGGAUGAUACCUCCGGAAAGGAUCUAUCUUUGAAAUCGGAUGCUUGGUGAAAGCAAGACAAAACCCUAACUAUUGUGACCCGCAAAGCAGAGGAUUUAGCCAAAACAAGCAUCAUCGGAAUAAAGACGAAAGUCAUUGGACACCACAUGCAAAUGUGCUUCAAAAAGAAAAUGUUUGGUUAGAUCUCUCGAUGCGGUUUGAAAAGAUAAUUCAGAUCAUCCAAGUCACUU